rnacentral:rRNA from 1 species
CCUAUAUCAAAGGUUGACCUCGGAUCAGGUAGGAAUACCCGCUGAACUUAAGCAUAUCAAUA